UAAUCCCUCCAGCGAGUGCUGGGUCUACCCCAGAGUCUCCUCCCUUAUUAGAUGCCCGAACCACUUCAACUGGCUCCUUUCAAUUCUACCACUGGAGGUCAGUGCUCCAUACCCUUAACUUAUUUAGGCUUGGACUUGGUUGAAGAUACUAGAAGACGUCUUCUAGAACCAAGUCCAGUUGCCCUUGACCUCAACCUUCGUUGGACAACAGUCUGAACCUUUCUCUGAGCAACUCUCAGUCUCUCUGGGGCUUGUGAGCACCCCCACACCCAUCUGGCACCUCUCACCCUGGCCAACUCCGGAGAUGGAGAGAGUCCAGCCCCUUUUCAGGAGUUUGGUUCCUGGACCAGUGCAAUGCAUAGAGGGACUGCUUUUGGCUCUGUCUGCUGAACAGUGGGACCAGUUUUGUUGCUGGAUUUGUCAUCUUCUCAGUACUUGGAUUCAUGGCUCAGAAACAGGGUGUUACAGUGGACAAUGUGGUUGAGUCAGGUCCAGGUUUGGCCUUCAUUGCUUACCCUCAGGCAACAGCUAUGAUGCCUUUGCCACAGUUUUGGAGUGUCUGCUUCUUCCUGAUGCUCAUUCUGCUGACAGUUGAUACAAAUUUUGUUAUUGUGGAGAGUGUUAUCACCACAGUGAGCGACAUGUUUCCGAAGUUGUUUCGUGCACCAGUGAGGCAUGAGAUCUUUGUCCUCAUCAUCUGUAUAUCCAGCUUCCUCAUACAGCUUACCUUGGUUACGGAGG